rnacentral:rRNA from 1 species
CACGUAGGAGGCAAACGUUAUCCGGAUUUACUGGGCGUAAAGCGCGUGUAGGUGGUUCUGUAAGUAGGGCGUGAAAGCUCCCGGCUCAACUGGGAGAUGCCGUUCUAAACUGCAGAGCUAGAGGAUGGUUGAGGGAGGUGGAAUUCCAGGUGUAGCGGUGGAAUGCGCAGAUAUCUGGAGGAACACCAGUGGCGAAGGCGGCCUCCUGGACCAUUCCUGACACUCAGACGCGAAAGCUAGGGUAGCAAACGGGAUUAGAUACCCCUGUAGU